CCCCUGAACCCCUGUCAACCUUGAUUCUCCACUACCCUGGUUCUUAUGCUCCAUUUAUAGCUACUUAACAUUGAGCUGUUUUCUGAUCUGACCUCUUAGAUACUAAAUCUAAAGUACACCAACGCUCCCCCCACUCAAACACCCUUAUACACACACACACACACACACACACACACACACACACACACACACACACACACACACACUCUCUCUCUUAUGCACACGCACACAAUAUAGUUUUGUUCUGUUUCUAAUCUGUAUAUAUGACCAUACUUUUCACUCUUUAGUAAUAAGGUACAAGCAAUGAUUUCCCAGAAUGCAAUUCUCUGUGUCACUGGGCUGUUCCCGUGGGAAACGCUGGUGACUGACUGAGAACGUGUUGCACAUUCCUUAAGCUCAGGACUUAUGGGUAUUGUAGUUUUGUGGAUUUGGUGUAAGGUAGUCUUGUUCCCCAGAAGCCAGGAACAUGAGGUUAGCUAGGUUACAAGGUAAAGGAAGUGCAGCCUAAAUGUUCCCCUUGUAGAGUUUAACAUAGGGCAAGCCUGUCUAGGAGGGCCUCUUGGAAAAUGGCCCACUACAUGCUCUGUGCUCAGACAAGAUGUAUGGAUGACUUUAUCAUCUACAUGUUCAAUCAGUCAACAGAUCAAUCAUGGAUCUGUCUCCCUCCUCUAGUUAGUCUGGGGGUGGGUUAAAGUGCUGUUUAAAGAGUAACCUCAGAAUAAUAAUACCUAACCAUUCCCUUUACUUCACUCCUCCCUUUAGAAGCUAAAGCAUGUUUGUAUGGAUAUAUCAUGGGAUAUGUCUCAUGUCUGUAUGGAUAUAUCAUGAGAUAUGUCUCAUGUCUGUAUGGAUAUAUCAUGGGAUAUAUGGACAUCUCAUGUUUGUAUGGAUAUAUCAUGGGAUAUGUCUCAUGUCUGUAUGGAUAUAUCAUGGGAUAUGUCUCAUGUCUGUAUGGAUAUAUCAUGGGAUAUUUGGAUGUCUCAUGUUUGUGAAAUGGCUGCAGUUUGAGCAGACAGGAAAGGGCAGAGUCACAUAGUAUUUACUGAUCAGUGAUUGGGAAAACAUAGGAAGUGACCUCAUUGACUACCUUCUUGCAACCUAUCAGCUACUUUUAUCAGUUCGUUUUAACCCCAGUUUUAGAGCAUUUACUCUCUGUUGUCUGCUGUGUUGUGAAGGCACCAGAUGAACUAAGACCACUGGACCAAAACACACUGAGGCUGGAAUUGAACUUAGAUUGAAUUCCCCCCCCCCCCGAGGGUCCAAACACGACUGUUUCGUAUGCAAGUGGUCAGGUUGUGUACAGGUCAGUGAGUUUGUGAGUGGGAGAGUGUGAGCAGGAUGAAGUUGUUCCUAUACUCUGAUCUAGGGUCAGUACUAUGUUAUGUCUUUCCCCCCUAAUGAUUAAAGUCAGGAUUUGGAGAGCAUAAGCUGAUCCUAGAUCUGUACCUUAGUGGCAACUUCUACUCAGAGUGUGAGCGUAUGUAGCAUGUACAUAGAUGAUCCGUCAGUCUGUAUAUAGGCAGUGUACAGGUUUGAUACGGCAGCAGACUCAGUCAGGUAACCUUAUUUUGAAAACCAGAGCAAUAUUUCUGUAUUGAUAAUCGGGCCAAGGCUGUAUGAUAAUAUAGUACGUGUAUCUAUCAGGAGGGAAUUAGAGGUCUGCUAAAAAACACAGAUCAAUGAGUUCCGGAGAGAUUCAUCCCUUUUUCAGUGAUGUAAUAAAGUUAGGAGAGUAAAUGUUUUCUGUUUAGAUUUGAGAGGUUUGAUGGAGUAUAACGCCAUAGCCUCCCUAUCACUGUCUUACUGUGCUUUGGUGACACCUAGUGGUCACACAACAUCGUCACAGUUUAACGGGAGUGGAGUGCGUGUGAUGUGACGCGAGUGUGUGAGCUUACGAAGAGGUUCGGUGUGUGUGCAUCACAGAGCUCGUGCAAUGAUGGGUGAAAUAGUUGUGAACACUAAAUAAAAAUCCUUAGUUUGAUGGAGUGUUUUUCUCAUGAAAUACUUUAAAUAUUUUGUCUUCCUUUGAAGCCUUCAUGCAGUAAGUGUGUGUGGUUUAUUACAACCUCCCAGCCUGUCUUUGUGGAGGAGUACAGGACAGGAUCACACUCCUGUACCAAUACUACUGACAGCAUCACCGUGAAACACAAGGAUUUCCAACAUCACCCAUGGAGUCCAGUGGAGGCUAAUGAGGGGAGGACGGCUCAUAGUAAUGUCUGGAAUGGAAUCAAUGGAAUGGCACCAAACACAUCAAAGACAUGGUUUCUAUGUGUUUGUUACCAUUCCAUUGACUCCAUUCCAGCCAUAUUUAUGAGCUGUCCUCCCCUCAGCAGCCUCCACUGAUGGAGUCCUUGUUUGAUGUAAUUCUGCCUGCCAAUGUCGCUGAACAGAAGGACAUGGGGAGGUCACCAAGGGCCUGCUUCAGACUUGAGAUAAAAAAAGACUUAACAUGGACUUAAGUUAAUAUAUUGUUUUACUUAAGUGCAUGUUCAUUUAACUUACAUUAUCUUAUAGGGCAUUGUAAAUGAGCCAGGGAUACUUUUUUCAAAUACUAUUUUCAAAGACCCGGGUUAAAUGCAUGGGAGUAUAUUUGACUAUUGUCAACUACUUUCCAGGUGUAUUUCCAAAUACAUUAAAAUAUUCAACUACUUGUCUUCUCAAAUAAACAAUAUCUUAAUACUUACUUCAAAUGUAUGUGAGAGUAACUGAGAUAUUUGAACUGGUAUUUGUACCCAGGUCUGCAGGUAUCCAUGGUGAUGCUGAACUGUACUAUGUAAUGCCUGUUGGACCAGUUACCCCAUUCGUGUUUGUUACCCCUUGACACUGAUCUAAGGU
rnacentral:lncRNA from 13 species